GUGAUUUUAACUAUGGUAAGAGAAAAUUUCGCAAAGGAACUGGCCGCCAAACACCGCUAAAAAUUUAAUCAUUGCCUUUUUUACAGCAGGCAGAUUAUAUUAAUAUUUGCUUUCUUUUCUCUCAAGGGUGUAACACUGUGACCAACGAAGAGAGUGUUUUCUAUCAGUGACUCGCAGACUUCCCUUUCACUGGAAUCCAGCUUAUUAGCUGCAUGGUUAACUUUGGAGCCAGGAAAACGUCCUGCACGUGGCACUGCCAUCAAGCAGAGGAGACAUGUUUCUCGGCUUCCCCUCUCUGGGACUUAAUAGCUUCUGAAGGCUAGCCUUUACUGACUCAUGAAGCUGUGUCUGCCUGGGGUCAGUGGUGGAGACAUUGCGUUAACCCCAGCAAGCGAGCCAUCACCAGAGCUUUGCACAGGGAGACACUUAGAUCCAGUAUCUAGGAUGGUGAGCCUCCUGGAUGCAGUGCUGCAGUGGCUGGGAAAGGAGGAAAAUGAUGUUUUUCUCUCUUUCAAUAAAG
rnacentral:lncRNA from 1 species